ensembl:lncRNA
CACAUCUAGUGCAGUUCUGUACUCUUUACCUGAGCAGUUCAUGUCAACUAAUGUGGUUUUAAACGAUGCAUGUGAUGGCCAGGCAGAACAACAACCUACAAGGUGAUUAAACAACUCCACAUAUUUGAAAUUCUUAAAUUAGAUCUGAAGAAGCCUUUCAGAUGAGGUGAAACCACCAAACAAGCACCUUUGGGGAAAGUAUUAAUGUGUUUGAUUUGUUCAUAUAGUUCUUGUCCUGAUCCCUCAGACGAUGAUUUGAUGUGUUUGAAAAGCUUACUUCAUCUUUUAUCUCUACAACAAAUAUGUAUUUCUGUGUUGUUGUUCUUUGUCCUCACUCAUCUUACAGUGUGACGUAAUGUGAAUUCUGAUCAUUUUAAGUUGUUUCACCUUUUAAACCAGGCCACACAAAUAAAAACAAUGAUUCAUGAAUACCUCCCAUUUCUCUCAAGAUGUUGUUUACAACAUAAGAAUUGGAACUAAACCUUUUGAUGAUGUGAGAAGUGGAACUUGUUUAAAUUUGUGUGGCCUUGUCAAAAAUGAGAGCAAAUAAACCCUUAACCACCCAUCAUAUUUGAGGAUGUGCGUGAUGCAGAAGACGCUCUUCACAGCCUGGACAGGAAGUGGGUUUGUGGCCGGCAGAUUGAAAUCCAGUUUGCCCAGGGUGACAGAAAAACACCAAAUCAGAUGAAAGCAAAGGAAAGGCGUUCUCCAGGCAGAUCCUCUCGAUAUGACGACUACGAUCGAGACAGCCGGCGCAGACGUUCACGAAGCCGCAGCUAUGACAGAUACAGGUCACGCAGCCCUUCUUAUGAUCGCCGUCGCAGACGAUCGGAGAGUCCUCGAGAAUCACGUGGUCGGACAUACGGAAGAGGGAGGAGCCGAAGUCGUGAGGAUGACAGACACAAGCAGAGGCGCCGCAGAGAGUCCAGAGGGCGGUCUCGGUCACACUCCAGAUCUGCAUCUCCACGUGAGAACACCAACCCAGCAUCGACCUCACAUUACCCUGAGGAAGAAGUACGGCGGUCUCCAUCCCGAUCCAGAUCCCGGUCUGUAUCAAGAUCACGUUCUCGGUCCAGGUCCUGGGCAGGGCACAAGUCAGGAGGACGCUAACAAUGCCCUGCCCCGCCCCGUCCCUUCAGUUCAGUCAGAUGGACCAGAAUUGGUCGGUUGUCAAGAGAUUUGUUUGAAUGUAAUGUCCAUUGAACCAUUUGUAGAAAGCUUGUUUCUUGCGGCUUCAUUUUAAGAACAAUAACGGUCCCUUGCUUGGUUUUUAUAUAAUAGUUUUGUUAAUAUUUCCUGAUAAGAACGUGACACAGUCAGAAGUUUCUAUGUUCAGUGGUAGUCAGUCAGGAAUAAUUGUUUUGUUUUUUUAUAUAUAUAACUAUACAGUUCCUGAUCCUCUUGUUUUCUUGACCCUAUGCACAAGAACAUUCAGUAUUUGAAGGAGGAAUCCAGCCUGUUGAAACAGCCCAGUGUUUCUGUGUGUUUUAUCACGUUCUAAGUACUUUUUACGUUACCGCCGACCAUCUUCUCAACUGAAGUGUAGAUUUUUUUUCUUCCAACAGCCAUAGGUGUUCAUUUAUUUAAGACUGAAAAUCCAUCAGAAUAAACAUUAUUGAUAACAUUUUCAGUUACUGAAUAAUUACGUUGCACAUCAGGAGUUAUCCUGUAGCAAUAACAUGAUUGAGAAAGAUGAAUGACGAAGUUCUGUGAUGAAUUAAGCUUCAAGUCACUUCAGGCUGAUCUUUUUUUAUGAAACCGAAGCCACUGGCUGCCUGGAAGAGAAAAAACAUUCAAAGUGUAAAGAAUGUGGUCUGAGCUGUCAGUGAUGUCAAGUGUAUGAGUAUGGGGGCUAAAAUACAUAGAAAUGCUGCUAUGGUCCUUUACAAGUGUUUGAAUUGAGUCAGUCAGAAACGUAAAUCACAAGCUGCUUUGAAACGUGCAGCAGCUUGUUUUAUUUUUGUGGUGUUUUCUGUAAGAGUAGAUGUUUCAAAAGUAUUUCAUAUUGGAACAUUUUCUCCAAAUAUCAGUUCUGGAAGGAGAAACAAAAGUUUCGCAUUGUGUUUCCACGACUGUGUUAAUGGUUUUUCUAAACAAAUCUUGUCCAUGCAUGUUUUAUCCUCCUAAUCUUCUAUCUUUAGUAGGAAGAAAUUGUUAUUUUGAGUAAUAAAUUGAUAACAUUCAGUAUAAGGAAACAGCGUGAAUCUUCAGUCUGUAAACUCGGCUAAUAGGCAAUUUGAACAUGUCGGCAUUAUUUAUGUAGCCUAUUAUUGAAAAGUCUCAAAAGCCAAUGAUACAAAAUGAUGUUUCUUCUUCCUCCUUCGGCACCUUGAUGCCAAAGAUGUGCUUCAGUAUAAUAAAAGUGGACGCAGUCUGCAGUCGUCUCAUGGGAAAACAGACCAGCACAGUCAGUCAUUGAUUUCCUUUUAAUGGAACAGUAGCUGCGAGGAACAACUUAAAUUAGAUUCACAGUGAACAGGCAACCAUGUAUGAAAUCGGACAUGCCCCAUUGAUCAGAGUAUUGAAAAAAACAUUGAUCAAACGAUGGUAGCAUGGGGGCUUGGUCUAUCAGAGCAGCUGGUAUGAGCUAAAUACAUGUAUGGCUGAAAAAAACACUAAUUAGAUUAAGACAGAUGGUUAGAACAGAAUCUGUUUUAACUGAGAAGUGCCAUGUUUUUGUCCACUCUGACUAAAGCACACAUACAUUUAAGUGAAGUAGAAUAUGUAUAGGAGAAGUGUAUAGGUUGUCGUCCACUUUAGUCAAACCAAAUAUUUUAGUCCACCACUUCUGUCUUGUUUGAAUUUGGGAUCAAAUGAGUCCAGGAUCCUUAGAGUUCAGCCGGAAGUAGGUGACAAACAAUUGAAUAUUUUGCAUCACAUUUCACCCCUAAUGACUCCCAGGCGCUGGCAGUCAGUCCAUUCCUACAGCUGCAAGGUAAAUGGAAACAGUGCAGUGUAACACCAUUGAUUUUUCUUUGUCUUUCAUGGGUUAUAAGUGAACAACUACAGGCUGCAGGGAUCAUUAGUUUGUUUUUAGUUUUCACCGACAGUGGAGACUGAAGUCUCUCCCAGUGUGGAAAUUUUUACCUUUGACUCGAGGACAAAGAAAAUAAACGAUGUUCUUGAAGGACUGUUGAACAGCA